AUUGUGAGGGCUCCUCAUGUCCUCACAUUGUUUAUAACGUGAGCCUCCAGCAUCAAGAGCUAUUCGGACCAAGAAAGCGACAAUUUCCCCAUUAAUUUGAGCGAGGAUGAAAGAUUCGUGGAUAAGGAUAUCGAUAGUGAAGGACUAGAAAAAAAUAAAAUAAAGUUAAAAAAAAAAAGGCAAUUGCAUAAGGAGCGAUUCAGAUAUUUUUUGACACAUUUACUAGGAUAAUUCUGGGAAAUCCCUUAUCUUUCUAUUGUGUUGCUAAUGUUUUAGUGAGUUAAAUAGUACCUGAUAGUCGGCAGGGUGUGUCCAUGGGUGUGUUGACGCCAGUCUCUGAGGGAAGUCACGGCAGCUGCAUGGACGGCACAAGCUCCGCUGAUCUCCGAACAGCAUCAUUAAAUGAGACACACAACAAACUUCACUUCGGUCGCACUGAGCAAACUGACGUAAAAGAAGACGCCACACUGCCCUCUGCUGACGACAAUCCGGUAAUGACACAUGAAAAGCGCAAACUGACGUAAAAGAAGACGCCACACUGCCCCCCGCUGACGACAAUCCGGUAAUGACACAUGAAAAGGGCGGGGGUCAGUGGCCCGCGGCUCUUGAUGGCAGCCACUCAAGGGGCCCAACGGCUGUUCAACGCAACGGAAGGAUUGGGUCGGGCUGUGGGAACACAGACUGGAGCGAUUUCUGAUUUGAAUCGCAUAAUGGAUCUCAUCUUGGAGAAGUUUGCUGAGAAGGAAUAAUUAAAUUGAAUUUGAGAGGUCCAGCACGGACACACACAGAAGGCAAGUCAUUGUUUGGACUUCUCGAAGAAAAACAACAUCUUAAUCUACGAUUUGACUGCCUCGAAUGGGCCUUGAUGCAAUCAGGGACAGGCUGUUCUGAAGAACCCCCCCGAGGACUCGUCAAAGAUGGACGCUUUUGACCUUCCUUUUUUUCCAACAACACCUGGUGUCGAACUUUGAGAUCGGCCCCAGUCCACAAAAACAUUUCAACAUCUCUCCCAAGUUAAUUGGGCGUACAUGCACGCACACGCCCAUCCCAAAAUCAACGCCUUCACCACCGCUUAAUUCCUCUGGGGUUGUGGAUGGCUAAAUAGCACUUUAUAGCGGCAGCUGCCCCCCCCCCCUGUUGCAAGUUGGUGUGAUUACAUGUGCCAUGUUUAUGUGUGUCAUGCUAUGUGAGGUUUUUUCCUCGGACUCCGUCUGGACCCCUCCUGAGGGUCCAGCCUUAGACUGAUAUUUUUUUUUACUUUUCCCCCUUUCCCAAUGUCACCUUUUUCUCACCUUUUUGAAGGAGCGCCUUAAGUGGCUGAUCCGUUAGCGGUCCCGUCUUGUCCCCCCUGUAACGUAUGUCUGAUCUUAGUGGGACUGUGCCGAAAAUGUAAUCUCAGUUCUUAUGUGUCUUGUACAUGUUAAGAAUGGACAAAAUAAAGCUGCUGUCUGCUUGCUGCUGCUGCUGUCUUUAGUGCCGCCCUAGUGGCUCUUUGGACAAUUUUUAAAAAAGGAUUAGAAAUGGAAAAAGAUGAGGUUUUGUUUUUUUGUUUGAAGACCAACAUGACACAAACCUUUCUAAUUUUUGUCAUGUCUUUGUGAUCAUGUUUUGUAUAUUUGUGUUGUAUUACUUUAAGACUCCAUUAGUUCUUUUUUUUUCACUACAUUGUUUUGUUUCCAUGCCUACCAAUCAGUUCACCUGUUAUGUGUUCACAAAUCACGCACCUGAUUUGUUUGGACUCAUGCACCUGUCAUUACUGCACCUAUCUAAGCCUGUAGUUGCCAGGCAGUCAGCAUGGUGACAUCAUCCUCUACACACCCUUGUUAUCCAUGCUGAUGAU